GCUUGCGCUCUCAUCGAGCGCAGGCCCCUUUGUGAAAGGUCACACCGCGGUCACACAUUGAGUGUCGAGAUGGGCGAAGUAACUUGAGUGCGCGCUGGGAGUCAGCUAGUGGAUGUCUGGUCUGCAUCGGUUGUCAGGCGGUCAUGAGGAGUUCAUUGCUCAAGUUGCCAGAGCGCGCGCAAUGCCAGAGCACUGGCACAAAGACCGCUCAGUUUCGGUUUGGUUUUCGCUUGAUACAGUCAAUGAUUGUCGGGGCUCUCGUUCACGCUAUGUGUUUCAGGAUUUUAGUGUUCCAGAAAAUCGACUUAUUUAAUUGCUACUCUUUAACUGUAAUCGGAAUGACAACAGCAAUAACAUGGAACGAGAAUUUGCCCGACUUGAGGUAGUUCGAUAAAAACGCAGAUCGCCCCGUUUAAUCGCUUAGACGACCGCCCAACUGGGAGGAGGUGGAGUCCCAGACGUAUCGAAACGUUUUGGCCGAGGCGACGAUUCCGAAAGCUUGACAUGAUGAUGAUCUGGUCUGGAACGAUAUUGCGUAGGGGCUAGACGAGCGAGCAUGGGCUAGCAACGCCGACAGAGAGUUGUUGGCCGGACGGACCGGCCAAACUCCGGAGUGGGUCAAGGUACUGGACUCGGACAUCACGACAUCGAGCUGCCUUUAGCAGUGCAGUGUGCUUUCCCCUCCCCGGCCGAGCACGGGAACCCAAGACAAACGGGUUGCUCACCGUUCCACCGGAAUCGGGCGUGACCGGACCACGGCGUUACUUUGACAACCGGCGGCGGGCCACAUGUCCUGAAGUCCGUGGAGUGUCUUCUCAUGCAUACCGGGGUGCACCCCGAGGAUAUGGCAAGCGCCUGGCAGCCUCAUCCCGAUGAGUUAAGGUCGGCGGGGGCGGCCACAGGAUCGGUGACCUGGGAACCACUAGUGCAGUCUGCAGAUUCCUUGCUUUGGAAGGAGUGGUGGGCGUGUCACCAGCACUUUACACAGAACUUGCAGACCAGGCUGUGGGGAGUCGAGGCAAAGCGUUGCCGUCAGAUUGUCGGACAUAUUUUGUGCGGACAGUAUUGUGUCGUUGCCCAAUCGCCACAUACACGGUGGUUUUCGAAUGUCGCGGGCGAUUGACGGACAGCCCCUGCCAAAAAGCCCCGGGGCUUAACCGGACAUGUCUACGGAGGAGUUGGACAUUUUUCAUCACGGUUUGAUUGGUUGCACGCCGCGCAACAAACCCUCCUCAAGUCGAACUCUUAAAGGGGCUUACGGACUUGUGCAGCCCAUGCGACAGACUAUUACAUAAACUGUUUUAGCCCAAACACGUCCGGUACCCUUCAGCACCGGCAAAUUUGGGGCACAGUGAAGGGGACAUUGAACAAACCAAAACAGGCAAUUGUUAUUCCGUAAUUCAGCGGUUGGUAACACUCUAUACGGAGUAUCGAAUGGUUGUUGAA